rnacentral:rRNA from 1 species
GACAGAGGGUGCAAACGUUGCUCGGAAUCACUGGGCGUAAAGCGCGUGUAGGCUGGCGGCCAAGUCAGAUGUGAAAGCCCUGGGCUCAACCUAGGAACUGCAUCUGAAACUGGUCGCCUAGAGUACUGGAGAGGGAAGCGGAAUUCCUGGUGUAGAGGUGAAAUUCGUAGAUAUCAGGAGGAACACCGGUGGCGAAGGCGGCUUCCUGGACAGUAACUGACGCUGAGACGCGAAAGCGUGGGGAGCAAACAGG